rnacentral:rRNA from 1 species
CAGCAGCCGCGGUAAUACGUAGGGUGCAAGCGUUAAUCGGAAUUACUGGGCGUAAAGCGUGCGCAGGCGGUUUUGUAAGUCUGAUGUGAAAGCCCCGGGCUCAACCUGGGAAUUGCAUUGGAGACUGCAAGGCUUGAAUC